UGAGAUUCUAUCUCAAAACAAGAAAUAAAAGUAGGUUUAUCUAUCAGUUAGCAUUGUCAAUUUAACACAGCUUAGCCGUCUGAAAAGAGAUUCUUUUUCACUUGAGGGAUUGUCUAGGUUAGAUUGGCCUGUGGAGGAUUGUCUCGAUUGUUAAUGGGUGCAGGAGAGCCUGGCCCACUAUGGGCAGCAACAUUCCCUAGGCAGGUGGUCUGGGUUGUAUAGGAAAACUAAGCACAAACCUGUAUCUUACCAGGGAUUGCUCACUAGCCAGUCUAGCCGACAUAGUGAGUCCUAGAAUCAGUCAGAGACUGUCUCAAAAAAAUACAGCGAAGAGAAAAAGAGUAAAAGAACCAUAUUGACCUGUGGCUCACACACACACACACACACACACACACACACACACACACACACACUUAACUAUAGCAUGUUGGUCAAAGGGAUCAGAAAACUAAAUGAAGAGAUAAUCACAGCGGUAAGGAUGUCUUUGAGGUUCUCUAUUGGAACAUAAUCAUUUGGUGGCUUUCUGACUUCACAUUCCAUUCCCUCACAUGCUGUUCUAGUUUCCUUCCUGUUGCUGAGCAAGCAGCAUCGGGGAGGGAAGGGAUUACAUGGCUCACGCUUCAGGUCACAGUCCAUCACUGAGGGAUGUCAGGGAGUAUGGAGCAGAAACCAUGGAAGAAGGCUACUUGCUUUCCUCACUCCUGUGUCCUAGCAUCUAGACCCAACUGUCCUUCCCAUCCAUCCCCAGUCUGUACAGUCCGGCUCAGCACUCUAGUAUCUCUAGGGUGGUUGUGAGUCCCCAUGUGGCAGUUGAGCUGUCCUGGAAAGGGCCCAACCGGAACAACCAGGCGCCAAAGGUUCAGCUCAUGUGGAGUUGGCUCCUGGGCAAGUCCAUAAGAGUUGCCAGCUGAAGAGAAAAACCACAAAAUGGUUUGCCCUGAAGCCUUUUCUGAUGUGUGGUCAAGAGUGCGCUGCAGCCUUUCUCCGCCCCUACUACCCUCCCCAUCCCCUGAAUAAACUCUAUUCUAUACUAAG
ensembl:lncRNA